GUGCAAAGUGCUUUAACUGCUCUAGAGGGCAGAUGGGCAGCAUCUGUCAAAGUGCAUUUCCUUUUCAACCCAGAGCUCAGUUUGGGGAGCUUUAUUCUACUCAGGUGUGUCAUUUCAUUGUGUGUGCAGUGCAGGUCACCAGUGACAUACACAUUAAAUAAAUCCAGUGGACACUGCAGUUUUCAUCUUACUUGACCUCUCAGUCUUCCAACACAGGUGACCUCCUUCCUACUCCAAACAGUGGAAGCUGAGUGCAUAGUGUUCAGCUCUCUAUGCCAAUAACUCAUUUAAUUCUUUAACAGCUCUUUAAAACAGGUGACGUUAUCCCCGUGGUACAGAUGACGCUGGGCCUUAGGUUAAGUAACGAGUUCCAUCUGAGUCAGGGGGAAACGAGGGUUUAAAUUCAGACACCGUCCCUCCUGCUGUCUCUGUGAAACACUCACCACCUUGCUGUCCUGAGCUUUCUUCCUCUUUCUGUUUCUCUCUGGUUUCUUUGCGUCUCCUUCUUCUGCCUGGUCUUAGGUUUUGGAGGUUUCUUAGGGUUUUUUCUUGGAUUUUCUUCUCACCCCUGCUAGGCAGUCUUACCCUCACCAUGGCUUUAAUUGCCACAUAGAAGGUGAUGAGCUCCCAAUAUAUAUUUUAUAGCUUAGAGCUGCUAUCCAACCCAGAUAUCCAACCAUCCCAACCCAUCUAAAAUCUAAUUUUUAACCUGCUCCUCCUAUGUUGCCUUUUUUGCUAAAUGGUACAAGCCAUCGUCCAGCGGCUCAGCAGAAACCUGGGAGUCCUUCCUGGUCCCGUUACCAAUCACCAGGUCCUAUUUAUGUGUCUCAUGCAUCUCCUUCCCUCAGGAAAGCACCCCCUCCCCAGUUCCACUUCCACUUUCUCAUAGGACCCUGCACCUGUCUUUCUCCCUCUUACAGCCUUUCCGUAAGGAUAUUCACCUGCUUUGAGUGAAUAUACUCAUGGAAACUUGUGGUUUUUAAAUCCCUUAGCAUGGCAUUUAUUUUUUAUUCCUUUAGAAAAGACAUUCAGGGAGGAACCAAGACAAUCUUACUGUUACUCUAUCCCCAGUGGCUAACCGAGUGCCUGUUUGGCACAGAGGCAUCAUUAAAUAUUUGCUUAAAUGAAAAAAGGAACAGAAAUUUAUUUAGGGGAAAGGCCUAACAAAACAAGAAUGGGUAGUGUGGAGGGUGAAUCCUGGAGACAGACUUACAAACAAGAUUUCUGAGAGUCAAGCCAUGAGAGUCAAGCUAAGGAAUUGGCAUUAGGAUUGAGAAAAAUAGGGGAGUUGGGGGUGUGGAAUUGCAGGACUCCAACUGUCAUUACAUGUGGGAGGUAAGAUCAGGGGUGUCAACGGUGCAGCAAACUGCCCUAGCUGGUUUGGCUCAGUGGACAGAGCAUAGGCCUAUGGACCGAAAGGUCCCAGGUUCAAAUCUAGUCUAGGGCACCUACUUCGGUUGUAGGCUUCUCCCUGGUCAGGGCGGUGGAGGAGUCAACCAAUCAAUGUGUUUCUCUCACAUCGCUAUUUCUCUUCAGCUUUCCCUUUCUCUUCCAUUGUUUCUAAAAA